AACAUGAGAAUGACAAAUUGGAUUUUUCCUCCUGAUUUUUAGUUUUUUUCUCCUGAAAAAAUUUCAAAUCCAACUAAAUAUGCUAAAAAUCAGGAGAAAAAAAUCUGAUUUGUUAUUCUCCUAUU
rnacentral:pre_miRNA from 1 species